CAAGCGUGCGUCGCGUAUAUUGCUCCGUGUGGUGCGAUAAAAAUUCAUCCGGACGUGUGCACGUGUUCUUGCGCGAACUCAGCCGGUGGUGCAGUGAGCGGUCGAUCGACUCUGCAGCUUUCCCGCCGAUCGAGCAUGCCGUAUCGGCAUCGUGAAGAAAAACAAAAGUGAAACCACGUGCGUUGUUUACGUGUGUAUCCUACCUGCCACGGUCAGAGCCCAUCUGCGCGUCCUCGGGGCCAGCCACCAACGACGUUGACGCGAGGAAGCCCGGCGAGGAAACGAUUGUGUCGCUGACAAAAAGUGAAACCCCGUGAAUAGUUUUUGUAGAAUAGAGUUGCGCUUCAUACACCACGAACGCCCCCGCAGUCGACGAGAGGGAUUGCACUGCACCAGUGGACAGGUUGUGUGUCCAUCAGCAUCAGCCGCCGUCCCGGGACGUCAAGGGGAGGGAGCAAAAGUGCUGCGCUUUUCUGACAGCCCGAAAAGCGGGCCGCUUUGUGCCGACGCUGCGUGAGAUCGUCGUCGGCGCUUCGCGAAUCAAAUCGUCAGGGUCGAACGGCGUGGCCCGGGCCGCGUUGUCAGUCGUCCCGUGGCAGUUGAACUCAUCGGCGCCUACCGUCGCAUUCGUCCCGUGAUUACCGGUUCCUCGUGCCGUGACUGCGGCCGCUGUGGCGAGCCGUGCAAGAAAAAGGAGCAAAGAACGACGCCAGGAUAUUGCCGUGCGCUGCCACCGUUCCGUGAGACAGUGUUAAAGUGCGGAAAGUUUCCGGUGUCGUUUCCGUGAAACUGCGCUGGGUCGCGGUUGUGUUUUGUGUUUUUCCGAGUGUGCAUUGCUGCAGUGACCACUGGGGAUUGCGCGUGGAAAUUGCGUUGCCGCGGGCAUGUUAGUGUGGAGCGACGCGCCGGUGGACAUCAUAGGGUUCGUGAGAGCCCUCCGAAACUGUGGUUGCCACCGCUGGAAAUGACUUGUACGUUCGUCGUAGUCGAGUCCACUUUCUAGGACGUCCCACAAGGUGUAUCCCGAGGGAAGGUGUUCGUAGCUGGUAGAGGGCGCACAUAGGAACCAGCCAUUCCUGAGGGGGGCAAGUCACGUGCGCCGGCCGCCGACAGCCGGCCCCAAGGUGAGUAGCUCGCCUCCACAACAUCAACCCCAAAACAAAUUGUUU